AUUGAACGCUGGCGGCAUGCUUUACACAUGCAAGUCGAACGGUAACAGGUUAAGCUGACGAGUGGCGAACGGGUGAGUAAUGCAUCGGAACGUGCCCGGUCGUGGGGGAUAACGCAGCGAAAGCUGCGCUAAUACCGCAUACGAUCUGAGGAUGAAAGCGGGGGACCGUAAGGCCUCGCGCGAUCGGAGCGGCCGAUGUCAGAUUAGGUAGUUGGUGGGGGAAAGGCUCACCAAGCCAACGAUCUGUAGCUGGUCUGAGAGGACGACCAGCCACACUGGGACUGGGACACGGCCCAGACUCCUACGGGAGGCAGCAGUGGGGAAUUUUGGACAAUGGGCGAAAGCCUGAUCCAGCAAUGCCGCGUGCAGGAAGAAGGCCUUCGGGUUGUAAACUGCUUUUGUACGGAGCGAAAAGGCUCUCUCUAAUACAGGGGGCUCAUGACGGUACCGUAAGAAUAAGCACCGGCUAACUACGUGCCAGCCGCCGCAGUAA
rnacentral:rRNA from 1 species